GACGAACGCUGGCGGCGUGCUUAACACAUGCAAGUCGAACGAUGAAGCCGGAGCUUGCUCUGGUGAAUUAGUGGCGAACGGGUGAGUAACACGUGAGUAACCUGCCCUUGACUCUGGGAUAACUGCGGGAAACUGUAGCUAAUACCGGAUACGACCCUCGGAGGCAUCUCCUGGGGGUGGAAAGAAUUUCGGUCAAGGAUGGACUCGCGGCCUAUCAGCUAGUUGGUGAGGUAAAGGCUCACCAAGGCGACGACGGGUAGCCGGCCGGAGAGGGUGAUAGGCCACACUGGGACCGAGACACGGCCCAGACUCCUACGGGAGGCAGCAGUGGGGAAUAUUGCACAAUGGGCGCAAGCCUGAUGCAGCAACGCCGCGUGAGGGACGACGGCCUUCGGGUUGUAAACCUCUUUUAGUAGGGAAGAAGCGAAAGUGACGGUACCUGCAGAAAAAGCACCGGCUAACUACGUGCCAGCCGCCGCGGUAA
rnacentral:rRNA from 1 species